GUACACAGAGGUGGGUGGGAUCUGUCAGGUAUACUCAGAGAUAAACAGAAAAAUCAACUUUCAGGGCCACAUACUAGUAAAGGAGAGAUGUCAUGCUUAGGGUCAUUUCUACUGGGGUCUCCUGCAUUGUGUUUAAUGCUCUUAGUAAUAUGAGACCUGCAUACCCUGGAACACCAGGCCCUAGGCCUUGAUUAAACUACAUCAUUUUAUUUUUAUGUUACACUAAAACUUUGAAGACACUCAUGCACAGCAACACAAACACACCCACACACACAAGCACGCACAAAGGUUUUGUCUCUGUGCAUUUUCGAUGCACCAUGUGUGACACAAUCAGGUUCUUGGUCCCCUCGAAUUGGAGCUAUACACAGUUGUGAGCUGCCAUGUGGGUGCUAGCAAUCAAAGCUGAGUGCUCUAGAAAACAUACCUAGAGCUGUUAACUGCCAAGCCACCUGUCUAGAUUUGUCUCAAUAUAUAGACCAUUAACACUAAUAUACAACACUGAAAAAUUAAUCAUAAGAUAAAUUGUCAACUGAAAUGGAAAAAAUCACUAUGAAAUCUUAGAUCAAUAUGACCCAUUUUUGUUAAUGGAUCAAAGACAUUUUGAACUGGAACAAAUAUACAUUUCCCCACCACCACCAAUCCCAUUUCUCAUCAUAUGUACAUGUUAUUUGUGCAUUGAUACACAUGUUAAGGGACUGACAUUGUCUUCCUCUCACUUUUUUGUGUCGCACACAUGUGGAACUAAGUGUGGGGUAAUCAGAGAAAUCGCCACUUGACAGUUCUCUUCUGCCACAUUGUGGGUUCUGGGGACUGAACUCUGGCCAUCAGGGCCCUUGGUAGGUUCCACCCAAUGGUCCCUCAGUUUUAGAGACAUGUUCACUCACCCAAAUCCCAUGGUAUGUUUGAUUUACUCUCUUGGAGCACACUAAUUCUCAGACUUGUAGGCGAGUAAGGUUUGGGGAUUCCCAUAUCCCCACAUCUGCAUUCAGGUUUCCAGGGCAAGUGUUUUACCAAUUGAGUUUUACCAAUCAUCCAAGCCCCUCAUUCUUAUUUCCUAUUUUUAGGUUGUACUAGGUUAUGAAGGUGAAUCAAUGACACAACUGUAGAUUUUCUGUAGUCCACAAGCUUUUUGAACAUUUUGUAGUUCAAAGAGGCUUGAAGUUGGAGCUUCAUAUAAAUAAUAGAUGAAUAAAUUAUAAAUUAUAGUUUAGGAUAUUCUUUUGCUUAAUGAAUGUUUUCUUUAAAAACACUGAGUUGUCCAACUGUAGUUUUUCAUUCUGUCAGCCCAUUCGUUCCCCACACAUAAGUUAGAUAUCUACUGUGUAGAAUAUACAUUCUGCUAUCUCUCCAGAUCUUUCCAGUCUUAUACCAUUAUGUUUCUCUGCCCAGUCAAGCUUCCUUACAUUCUAUAAAUUUAAAUGUUAAAUGAACUGAAGCAUGCUCAUUGGAACCCUUGCUUCAUUGAGCUUGUAGCCUUUUGAAUAUCAAGCAUAGGAGCUAGGAUGGCAUAGGUUAUCACCUUGUAUGGAUAUUGACCCAAUUUUGGUGUGAGUCCAGGAGCACAUUGACCAUUUUAUGGCAAAGCAUGAGGUCCUCCUUUGCUACCAUCUAGUGCAUGGAUUACCAUGGAUACUGUAUCUAUUUCCUAAGGACUAGGUUGUGCUCCCCCUGCUACCAGGUAUGGAAACACUACUCAUGGGCAUAAAAAAAUGAACUGUAGAAAUGAAAAACAAACAGACAAAGAAUUGAUGGCUGAUGUCUUAUAGUUUUGUUUGUUUGUAAGAAUUUACAUAGAUACAAGUGAUCUGUAUCAUUGCCAUUUACCUGUGGAUUGUGCCAUAUUUUGUUCAAUGUAAGGCACAAUGGGUUUCAUGAUAACCCUUUAUUUUGUAGAGAAACAAAGUUAAAAAUAUUGGCAAUUAUAGUUGCUAAAUAAUAGAAAUGAUAAAUGACAUUCCAAUGUUAGAGAGGCUAAAAUGUGAAUGAAAAGGGACAGUGAGCCCAGUGUCACUGGCCACUAUUUAGGAUGAGUUAGGAGGAUUAUCAUGUUCAAGACUUAGUUGGUGAAAAAGAGUUAUUUUUAAAGACAUGUAAACUUCUUUGACUAGAAAAGUUUUAUAUGUGUACUGUUGAUAGAAUCCUGUUUUACCUUCACUGAAAUGUUGUGUUUGUUAUAACAAGGAAGAGAAAUCAUUAUCAUGAUGAGCAAAUGCUGAACUUUCAGGAGCUGUAAAUGCUUGUAAUGUUCUAGCAGAGUUCUUGCCCAUCCAACCUGAAGCCUCCCAGCAGCCCCGGGUAAGAUAACAGCUAUGCUUAAUCUCCAUUCUUUGGAUCUGGAAAUGGAGUCAUGGAGCUCAUAGAAAUCCCAAGUAGUCACUAGUGAGUACCAGAUAUUAGAGUAGGAUUUGAAUUCAUGCUGAGAUGAACUUACUGGGAACUUUUCUAUGGUUCUUUGUACAGGGAUGAAGGUCGUGAGAGAACACCUGCCUUAUGUGGGGACAGCCAUGCACUAUAUCCCUAGCACAGUAAAUGAACAUUUGAGUAGUCAUAAAUAAAUAAGGCAAUUCCAGUUAUUUUCUUACAUCAGAAGAAAAUUAGCUUCAUAGUAUGUGGUGCUUAAAGGAGAUGGGACUCUUAUUUAGCAUUUGGGAAUGUCCCUAAAUGCCCUUUCCAUUUGCAGGACUUCGCUGCAUUAUGCAUGUGCCCACAACCAUCCAGACGUGGUGACACUAUUAUUAGAAAAUAAUUCCAGCAUUAACAUCCGGGAUGAUGAAGGCUGCACACCCUUGAUUAAGGUAGCUAUUGGCCAUCUGUUUUGACAUGAAAAUGGAUAGAGGUUGUCCUUGUUUGGUUUCUCUUGCUGUGAUAAAACACUGACCAGAAACAACUCAGGAGAGGAAAUGGUUAUUUGGCUUACAUUUACAUAUCACAGAUCAUUCUCAAGGGGAACCAGGGCAGGAGCUCAAAUCAGGAACUGGAGGGAAGAACUGAACUGGAGUUCACAGGAGAAUGCAGCUUUUCCAUGGCUUUUACCAAGCCUUGCUCAGGUGUUUACUUGUUGUUGUUGUUUUUGUUUUUUAACAAAAUUGAGGACUUUGUCCCAGGCAUACCCCAACUCCUAAAACCGAGACUUUCCAACUUCUAUCUCAAUUU
rnacentral:lncRNA from 1 species